UGGGUAACCUGCCUCAAAGAGGGGAAUAGCCUCCCGAAAGGGAGAUUAAUACCGCAUAAUAUGUUUAAGUCGCAUGACUUUAACAUCAAAGGAUUUUCUUUUAGAAAUUCCACUUUGAGAUGGACCCGCGGCGCAUUAGCUAGUUGGUGAGGUAACGGCUCACCAAGGCAACGAUGCGCAGCCGACCUGAGGGGGUGAUCGGCCACAUUGGAACUGAGACACGGUCCAGACUCCGUAGGAGG
rnacentral:rRNA from 1 species